rnacentral:rRNA from 1 species
UACAGAGGGUGCAAGCGUUAAUCGGAAUUACUGGGCGUAAAGCGCGCGUAGGUGGUUCGUUAAGUUGGAUGUGAAAUCCCCGGGCUCAACCUGGGAACUGCAUUCAAAACUGUCGAGCUAGAGUAUGGUAGAGGGUGGUGGAAUUUCCUGUGUAGCGGUGAAAUGCGUAGAUAUCUGGAGGAACACCGGUGGCGAAGGCGGCAUCCUGGACCGGUAUUGACGCUGAGGCGCGAAAGCUAGGGGAGCAAACGGG